rnacentral:rRNA from 1 species
CACGUAGGGCGCGAGCGUUGUCCGGAUUUAUUGGGCGUAAAGAGCUCGUAGGCGGCUUGUCGCGUCGUCCGUGAAAACUUGGGGCUUAACCCUGAGCUUGCGGUCGAUACGGGCAUGACUGGAGUUCGGCAGGGGAGACUGGAAUUCCUGGUGUAGCGGUGAAAUGCGCAGAUAUCAGGAGGAACACCGGUGGCGAAGGCGGGUCUCUGGGCCGAUACUGACGCUGAGGAGCGAAAGCGUGGGGAGCGAACAGG